rnacentral:rRNA from 1 species
CCUACGGGAGGCUGCAGUGGGGAAUAUUGCUCAAUGGGCGAACGCCUGACGCAGCGACGCCGCGUGAGGGAUGAAGGUCUUCGGAUCGUAAACCUCUUUCAGCAGGGAAGAACGGUCACUGUGCUAAUCAGCAGUAAAUUGACGGUACCUGCAAAGGAAGCACCGGAUAACUCCGUGCCAGCAGCCGCGGUAAUACGGCGGGUGCUUGCGUUAAUCGGAAUUAUUGGGCGUAAAGCGCUUGUUGGCGGUCUGUCAAGUCAAGGGUGAAAUCUCCGCGCUCAACGUGGGAACUGCCUUUGAAACUGGCAAACUGGAGUGUGUGAGAGGAUAGUGGAAGUCCAGGUGUAGGAGUGAAAUCCGUAGAUAUCUGGAGGAACAUCAGUGGCGAAGGCGACUAUCUGGCACAUAACUGACGCUGAGGAGCGAAAGCGUGGGUAGCAAACAGGAUUAGAUACCCUGGUAGUC